GCGAGAGUGGCGGAACUGGCAGACGCGCUGGAUUUAGGUUCCAGUGACCAAUGGUCUUGGGGGUUCGAGUCCCCCCUCUCGCA
rnacentral:tRNA from 1 species